CCAGCUUUAAUCCUUUGUGUUUGACUUCAAUAACCUCCUCAUAAAAAAAACCAUUAUCCACAAACUGGUAUUAGCAAAUAUAUGGUUUGCAUUCAUAACAUAUUAACAAGAACAAAUUGUAUUUAUAUAGGACCUUUAGGAUUAUAAAACAUUUCUGGGCAGCUCACAUGAAUUAUAAAGCAAAGAUAUGAUACUGCAUUGCAUCGGAGAUAUUAAGAUAGAUGAUUAAAAUUCUGGUCAGAAAAAUAAUUAAUAGAUAGUACAUUUUAGGAGGAAAGUAUGAUGCAGAGGCAAAGAGUUUUAUGAAACAAUGUUAAUAAAUAGGCAGCUGAAAAUGCGGCUGGCAGCACAACUAAAGUCAGCAAUGCUAAAGAGAUUAGGAUGAAAGAAUUGCAGAUAUAUUUGUAAAAUUGUGAGACUGGAGGAGAUUAUAGAAAUGGGGUGGUUUGAGACCAUGGAGGGAUUUGAAAACAAGAAAGAGAAUUUUAAAAUCAAAAUGUUGUUUAACUGGGAGUCAAGGUAGAUCUGUAAGCAACUGGAUGAUGAAUGAAAGGGAUUUGGCGUCAGUUUAAAAGCCAGCAGCAGAAUUUUGGAGAUAAGUUUAUGGAGCAGAGAAUGAGAGAGACUGGCCAUGCAUAUGUGAGAAUAGUCAAGCCCCGAGGUAAGAAAGGCAAGAAUAUGGAUUUCAGGAGAAGUCAAGCUGAAUCAGGUGGGGCUGGGCAAUGGUACAGAAGUAGAAAUAUGCCAUCUUGGUGACAGCCUUGAAAGUUGCCAGGGCGAAGGAUGGAGUCAGUGGCUAAGGAGUGUGCUAGGGAUGAAAAGGAAGGACUGCAAUUUUCCUAAUGUUUAAUUGGAGAAAAUUUCUGUUUAUCUGGUUCCUAGUGUCAGACAAAUAGCCCAAUUUUGAGACGGACUGGCUGAGAGAUGGGAUGUGGAGGUAGAGGCCAAUGCAGGGCAUACAAGAUUCUGAGGGGCUCAACCUGAGGGUGAGAUGUUAAUAUUUCCAUUAGUAGAGGAAUCUUGAACUAGUUACUAAACAGGGGGUCACUUAUUUUAAACUGGAAUAUGAAUAAAUGUCUUCUCUCAGGGGGUAGCGAAUGUCUGGAAUUUUCUAACCAGAAGAGUUGUGGAGGCUAGAUGACUGAAAGUAAAGAAGAGGUAGACAAGUUUUUCAAAGUGAGGGGUGCAGGGUUUGAGGCCUGGGUCUGAUCAGCCAUGAUCUUAUAGAAUGUUUGAGCAGCCAAAUAGCCUAUUUCUGCUCUUAUUGGUUAUGCUUUUUUUAAAUCUUCUUUGCGUUUUAGGAUGAUGUCACUGAGAGAAAGCAAGCUUGGAGGUCGGUAUGGGGAAACAGGGAAAAGCCAAGCCUUGAUCGUUGUGAGACACAAGAGCUAAUUGAUUGGGAGUGCAAAAAGAAAGCCGGUGAAGACAGGUUUCUGGUUGUGAUGACAGGGAAAACGGAACCAGUGGCUUAUUGGAAGAGAACCCAUUAAACGGCCCUGAUACUUGCUGUUGUCAACGAAUGGUUAUGAAGAUUUUUAAGUCACAAGACAGGGGCAAACUUGAAGACAAAAGAUUUUCGAUGACAAGGUCACCUGGAGGCAACGCGAAGGGCAAGCUUUUUACAGAAUAUGGAACGUGCUGGCAUAAGUGAAGGCAGAUACAGUUGGACUUUUGGAUGAGGACAUGAACAUGCAAGGAAUGGAGGGAUAUGGACCAAGGGCCGGCAGAAAGAACUAGUUUAAUUUGGCGUCAUGUUCAGCACAACAUCGUGGGCUGAAGGACCCGUUCCUAAUAUUAUGAUUUUUUUUUCAAUGAUGUAUAAAGGCAUAACUCUUGAAAUAGAGACGAGGUUCCAAAAACAAAGUUUUAAAGUGCCUUUAUUUCUAAGUAGAUAUGCCUAUCUUAUUAUCAACGAGAUACCUUCACAGUAAACAUUGGCUCCAUCGCCUGUUUCUGUGAUGGGGACGAAAUGUUACAAAGUUUUAUACGGGAAUACGCGGUCAUGGUGCCGCCUGCAACGUGUAACGGACAUUGCAGGAAAGCGAAGGCCUCUUUAGCCGGGAAUUUCCCAGGCGUCCAAAAUUGGAACAAAUGUUUUCAACUCUUUUUGCUGUGGAAUGUCAUGAUUCAUCCAUCAUCCAGUAUUUUAACUACUAAGUUUUAUCGCAGUUGUUCUUUCUAUUUACAUUUUUUAUCGCUAUUAUGUUACUAGAAUCACUUUCUAACAUUAUCUUUAGUCUCCUUUGGUACAUUCAUUUCAAAUGAUGCCUUUGCACUCCCCUCAUUUGGUGUUUCGUCCUUCCCCCUUAAAGAUUUUGUUUUAAACAUGUCAUGUUUAUUCCUAUUCAAUAGGAAUUCAACAGUCCACUGGAUAACUAAUUCCACUUAUUUUCUGUGAACGUUUUAAAAAUAUAUUCGAAGUGGUCAGGUGGAAUAGCGACAGUGUUGAAGUCCCAUGUCUGAAAACUUGAUCAAAAUAUGUAUUAUCAUCAAUCUCUGAUUUAUUUUUAAAUUCUUCUUGGCAAUA